rnacentral:lncRNA from 1 species
AAACGGGAGAAAAUCUAGCAGGGAAAAUCCCACGGGAAAGGGAGCUGCCCAAGUAGGCGCCCUUACAUGCGCGUGGCGUGGUGUCAACCCUGCGCGUGUCUUGUCACGCACAGGCAAGCCGUUCGCGUGUCACCUUGCGCAAAGACAAGUGCCACACACUGUGCCUCUGUUGUUUGCGCAGCAAGCUUGCAUGGAUUGGCCCCUAUGCGGCUAUGUCCUGCGUGCAGUAGGCCUGUGCGGACGACAUCCAGCGCUCCUAGGCCCUGCGUGAAUGGUCCGAGUAUAUAUCGGUAUUGACAUGCAUAAUGCAUCAAGUGUCUCGUUAUGUUUUUUAUCUUUGAGAGGUAUUUGUUCCCCUAACCUGGGGUAUUUGUUUCUCCCUCCCCCGUUUGGUCUGAAAAGACGUAAGAGGACCGCUAUCUGUGGAUGUCGGCAUACCCUCUGACAAGGAUGGUGACACAAAUAUCUAUUAGGGAUUAUCUUUGGCUAAGUACUGUCAUGACCAUAGAAUAU